CGGCAUGCUUUCACAUGCAAGUCGGACGGCAGCACAGAGAAGCUUGCUUCUUGGGUGGCGAGUGGCGAACGGGUGAGUAACAUAUCGGAACGUACCGAGUAGUGGGGGAUAACUAAUCGAAAGAUUAGCUAAUACCGCAUACGUCUUGAGAGAGAAAGCAGGGGAUCUUCGGACCUUGCGCUAUUCGAGCGGCCGAUAUCUGAUUAGCUAGUUGGUGGGGUAAAGGCCUACCAAGGCGACGAUCAGUAGCGGGUCUGAGAGGAUGAUCCGCCACACUGGGACUGAGACACGGCCCAGACUCCUACGGGAGGCAGCAGUGGGGAAUUUUGGACAAUGGGCGCAAGCCUGAUCCAGCCAUGCCGCGUGUCUGAAGAAGGCCUUCGGGUUGUAAAGGACUUUUGUCAGGGAAGAAAAGGUUGGUGCUAAUAUCGCUGACUGAUGACGGUACCUGAAGAAUAAGCACCGGCUAACUACGUGCCAGCAGCCGCGGUAAU
rnacentral:rRNA from 1 species